GGGCGGCGUGCUUAACACAUGCAAGUCGAACGAUGACGGUGGUGCUUGCACCGCCUGAUUAGUGGCGAACGGGUGAGUAACACGUGAGUAACCUGCCCUCCACUUCGGGAUAACCUCGGGAAAUCGUGGCUAAUACCGGAUAUGAGCACUCAUCGCAUGGUGGGUGUUGGAAAGAUUUAUCGGUGGGGGAUGGACUCGCGGCCUAUCAGUUUGUUGGUGAGGUGAUGGCUCACCAAGACGAUGACGGGUAGCCGGCCUGAGAGGGCGACCGGCCACACUGGGACUGAGACACGGCCCAGACUCCUACGGGAGGCAGCAGUGGGGAAUAUUGCACAAUGGGCGAAAGCCUGAUGCAGCGACGCCGCGUGGGGGAUGACGGCCUUCGGGUUGUAAACCCCUUUCAGUAGGGAAGAAGCGAGAGUGACGGUACCUGCAGAAGAAGCGCCGGCUAACUACGUGCCAGCAGCCGCGGUAAUACGUAGGGCGCAAGCGUUGUCCGGAAUUAUUGGGCGUAAAGAGCUUGUAGGUGGCUUGUCGCGUCUGCCGUGAAAACCCGAGGCUCAACCUCGGGCGUGCGGUGGGUACGGGCAGGCUAGAGUGUGGUAGGGGAGACUGGAACUCCUGGUGUAGCGGUGAAAUGCGCAGAUAUCAGGAAGAACACCGAUGGCGAAGGCAGGUCUCUGGGCCAUUACUGACACUGAGAAGCGAAAGCAUGGGUAGCGAACAGGAUUAGAUACCCUGGUAGUCCAUGCCGUAAACGUUGGGCACUAGGUGUGGGGGACAUUCCACGUUUUCCGCGCCGUAGCUAACGCAUUAAGUGCCCCGCCUGGGGAGUACGGCCGCAAGGCUAAAACUCAAGGAAUUGACGGGGGCCCGCACAAGCGGCGGAGCAUGCUGAUUAAUUUCGAUGCAACGCGAAGAACCUUACCAAGGCUUGACAUGCCACUGGACGGCUGCAGAGAUGUGGCUUUCUUUGGACUGGUGCCACAGG
rnacentral:rRNA from 1 species